AUUGAUUCAGUCCCCUCUCAAAGAGGGAUUGUACUGUUAACUCUUGUGUUUGUGUUAUUUGGGAAGGUUGGUCGGGGGGAGUCUUGAUUUUUCUCGAGGCUUGCUCUUUUCCUGGUGCCCCAUUAAGAUUUUCUGCUUCUGUUGUGUUUUUGGAAGAAUAUAUACAGCCCUGCUCUGGGACACACCUCCAUUGGAUUUAAAAGACAGUCCUCGUCAGCACUGACUUUCAGCUAUGGAAUCGACGGUUGAUGAUGAAGCGCCGGCCGUGUAAAUGAAGAUCGGGUGAGGAGCAGGACGAUGCCCAAGGGUGGGUGCCCUAAAGCACCACAGCAGGAAGAGCUUCCCCUCAGCAGCGACAUGGUGGAGAAGCAGACUGGGAAAAAGGAUAAAGAUAAAGUUUCUCUAACCAAGACCCCAAAACUGGAGCGUGGCGAUGGCGGGAAGGAGGUGAGGGAGCGAGCCAGCAAGCGGAAGCUGCCCUUCACCGCGGGCGCCAAUGGGGAGCAGAAGGACUCGGACACAGAUGCCUCCAGCCCAGUCCCUGUUGUGGUGCUGCAAGGCUGGUACGCUCCU
rnacentral:lncRNA from 1 species